rnacentral:lncRNA from 1 species
GCCCUAUUUUAUAAAAUUUCCUUAGAGUAUGUGUGCAUCAUUUACUGUACUUUGACACACAUUUGGAUAAGCUCACAGGUUGGUGAGUCACUUUCUGUGCCAUUGCAGACAAUGAAUAGUAGGCUAUCAUUGUGCAAACUCACACCACAAACAUCCCAAUACUGUUUCACUUCCAUUUUGCUUUUAAGGUCUAGUUUUAUUGUAUGUAAUAAUGUAAUAUAAUAUAAUAAUCCUUUUUCCAAACCACUUGACCUAUGUAAGUUUGUAUUAUAAUUGUAUUAUGUAUUGUAGCAUGUAAAUGUAAUAUUUCUUAAUAUACAUUCUUUAUUUAAUUUUUCCUUCCAUAAUGAUUUCUUCUGAAGGAAUGACAACUCCUUUCCCAGUAAGGACCACCAAACAUCUGAGCAGCUUUACCUCCAAUGGGACCAGCUCAUGGAGCACUGAUACCACUGUGUCUACAUCACAAUCUGGUCACUUGCUAGCCAGCACAGUGAAACCAAAUGCCACUCUGACAACCUUACAACCCAGAUACACCAGCCAUCCCACUCCUCUCACUGGCAGCUCUUCUGCUCCACCUGUUGGCAAUGCAUCUACAUUACAUGCAAGCACUGUAAAAUCUAUAGACACCUCUACAGACAGUUUGAGCACAACUCCAGAUCCAGCUACAAGAAGAAGAGAAAGAAUCACCACUGAUAUAACACAGAAAAACAUCACCACUGUUACAGCAACAAAAGGUGCAGGGUGA